UUUUUGUAUUUUCCACAUUUUAAUAAGAUAUUAACAUAAGAUGUAAUAAGAGACUCUUCUUUCACCGGGAAUACUUUUAACUUCCGGCGUCGCAUACUAUUUAUACGAGAAAUAGAUUCUCCGUUUAUGGUUGUCAAGAUUACUAUUCACUUUUCGUAGCGCAUCAUCGUCACGUUUGUCGACGAUGAACGUGUCGCCCGACUAUGUUACGAGCCUGUGCAAUGCACUUUCGUCUCACGCAACGCAACGCAACGCGACGAUGUUGUAUGUACUUGGAUGGUGGUGUCAUGGCGGUCUUAUUGUCAGAAUGAAACGUGACUGCGAUAAGCGAAAUGCGUGGAUGCGUGCCCUCAAUGUAACAGGAAGCAAUAAUGACUAUAAUGUUAUUAGUAUAAAUUGGAUGAUGUGAAAUCGACCUCUCUUGCGAAUUUCGCUUGCGUUCGCUAAGAAUGGCUAAGAGUUUACGCGAGUUUAAACUGCGUUUUCGCAUAAACGCUGACCACGUGCACCGAACGCAUAAUAUAUGACGCUUAGGGAGAAUUCUCCACGAUGUCGGCCACGUCAGACCAUACGCAACCCUCGGCCAGUGCAGCUAAAUAUAUAUGAAUAUAAAAUGUGCGGUCCCCGGAGCAUGCGUGCUAGAGUACAUCUCAGGGCCACAUCGGCUUCGUCCAAGCGCAAUAUACCGUAGUUAAUUCAACCCUUCAGGAAUAACAGAAAGUUGGAAAAUUAAUUCAUCCGAGUCGCGAAUUUUUUUUUAUUUUUCUGCCGGGAAUUGUAGAAAUAUUUUUAUACAUAAUCACAUUAUAUAUUCAAAGAGAAAAUAAAUUUUGUAUAAUUUCUGCCAGUUGAUUGAACCAGCGCGAAAGAUAAUGGAGUGAAUAAAAUAAUAAAAUC